rnacentral:lncRNA from 1 species
UCGAUCCAACAUAUUAAUUCAACCUGCAUAACUCAUUUAAAAAGCAGGUCAGAUCAGGUUAUUAUGGGUUAGACAGGUUUUAAAUAGCUAAAUGAGUCUCAGAUGACUUAAAUGAGUAAAUGGAUUGCAUUAAAUCCAUGUUAGACCGACAUAAUUAUUAAACGGGUCAAGACGGAUUAGAUGGCUUUGAACUCCGAAUCUAAAAUGGACCAGAUUAAUAAAUGAGUCAAGUCAGAUUGUUUAUAGCACAGACUCAUUUAUGCUAGACCUAUAUCCGCUUAUUUCAAGUCUGUUAUGGGUUAGCUU